UGAACCGUCGUCGUGUGUGGACGUAUCGUUCGCUUCGGUAAACUACGCGAAAGAUUAAUUUUUUAACUUCGCUCACUGAUUUCGGUAACUUUUGGAACAGUGAUAAUUGUAUUUUGUGUGUGAUUUUGUGAAUUGUGUUUAUUAAAUAUGUUGUAAAGUGUUUUUUUCUAAGUGUUUUUUUUAUUUGUUCGGAUUUUGUGGAGUGCAUUUUGAUAGAAGAGAAAAAAUUGCAAAGGAUUGUUCGCGUCUAUUUAAAUAACUGGAUCCAGUCAACGUGGAAUGAAUGAACAAUGAGUUAGAAGGAGUAAUAUGAGUUCAGAGGACGACAGCGCUCCGUGACGUCAUGGCGGUGGCAUUCGUCAUACUCGCGCUCCUCGCUCAAGCUAUACCCGGCCAUUGCGCACAUCGGCACGGCCAUGAUGUGUCAUCAGAGACGCCUGAACUCGCUGAGGUCCGCCACGAAAAUGCCACGCAUCAUGGGAAGGAACGCGGUGGCUGGUCUCAAUGGAGUGAAUGGUCACUCUGCUCGAGGACAUGUGACGGCGGCGUGUCUCGGCAGCUGCGGACUUGUG